rnacentral:rRNA from 1 species
GAUGAACGCUGGCGGCGUGCUUAACACAUGCAAGUCGAGCGAAGCAGUUAAGAAGAUUCUUCGGAUGAUUCUUGACUGACUGAGCGGCGGACGGGUGAGUAACGCGUGGGUGACCUGCCCCAUACCGGGGGAUAACAGCUGGAAACGGCUGCUAAUACCGCAUAAGCGCACAGAGCUGCAUGGCUCGGUGUGAAAAACUCCGGUGGUAUGGGAUGGGCCCGCGUCUGAUUAGGCAGUUGGCGGGGUAACGGCCCACCAAACCGACGAUCAGUAGCCGGCCUGAGAGGGCGACCGGCCACAUUGGGACUGAGACACGGCCCAAACUCCUACGGGAGGCAGCAGUGGGGAAUAUUGCACAAUGGGGGAAACCCUGAUGCAGCGACGCCGCGUGAGCGAAGAAGUAUUUCGGUAUGUAAAGCUCUAUCAGCAGGGAAGAUAAUGACGGUACCUGACUAAGAAGCCCCGGCUAACUACGUGCCAGCAGCCGCGGUAAUACGUAGGGGGCAAGCGUUAUCCGGAUUUACUGGGUGUAAAGGGAGAGUAGACGGCAAGGCAAGUCUGAUGUGAAAACCCAGGGCUUAACCCUGGGACUGCAUUGGAAACUGUCUGGCUCGAGUGCCGGAGAGGUAAGCGGAAUUCCUAGUGUAGCGGUGAAAUGCGUAGAUAUUAGGAAGAACACCAGUGGCGAAGGCGGCUUACUGGACGGUAACUGACGUUGAGGCUCGAAAGCGUGGGGAGCAAACAA